CCUCGGUGCAUCUAUAAAACGCCUGUCCUGCCCUACAAGUAGUUUUUCUCAUGCAUCCACCUCCAAACGGUUCAUCCUAUUUCCAAUUCUUUUCAGCUUCAGUGCGGGUCUUGUCUCUGGUUAAUUGUUGUAGGAUUAUAGCUACGCCUGGUUCAAGCACAAACAAUUACCAGGUUUGCAUAAAGUUGAGCGCUGCAUAUGCAUAUGGGCAUGGAUGGGAUCACAAUACACACGGCAGCAUGCUUUACCAUAGCAUUUUUGUUUCUCACCACAAUCAUCUCCGAGAUCAUUGCAAGAAUCAGAACCAUUCAUCUUACGCGCAAAGGAAAGAGAUCAUCAAUUACUCUGCGCCCGCCACAAGUUGUGAGUGGAGCUCCUCUAAUGGCAGCCCUGUUCACACUUGUGACCCCCAAGAAGGGUUUACAUGCUGCAAUCCAUGAACUACACAUGAAGAUGGGAAGUGUGUUCACAGUGAACCUUUUCGGGCUAAAGAAGGUGACAUUUUUGGUUGGGCCAGAGGUCACUCCUCAUUUCUUCAAGGGAUCGCCAUCCGAGAUCGACUUCGGGGAUACAGCUAAGAUCAUUGUGCCCGUCCUCGGUCAAGGAGUUCUGUUUGGUGUGGACAUGGCUACCAGGAAUGAGCAGAUCCGAUUUUGUACCAAGGCGAUACAGCCGGCGAGGUUGCGAAGAGAUGUUCAGUCCAUGGUUUGCGUAGUGGAGGACUACUUUGCGAAAUGGGGACAAAGUGGUACGGUUGAUUUAAAGCAUGAGCUUGGCCACCUAAUCGUGCUGAUCGCAAACAGAUGCUUGCUUGGCAAUGAGAUCAAAGGCAACAACAUGGAAGAAGUGUCGAGACUCCUCCAUGAACUAUUUGAAAACAGCUUCCACAUGAUCAACUUAUUCUUCCCGCACCUCCCAAUUCCGCCGCACCGCCGACGCGACGAAGCGCGUGCAAGGCUGGGAGAAAUACUCCACGAGAUAGUCAGAUCACGUAGAAGAAUUAGCCCAGCCCGAGUCAUGGACAGCAAUGAUGAUGACGAAGGCGAUGUGUUGCAGAGCUUCAUAGACUCAAAAUACAGUGAUGGCCGAUCCAUGACAGAGAGCGAGAUUGUUGGGCUACUCAUUGCCAUCUUGUUCGCCGGGCAGCACACGAGCUCAAGUACCAGCACCUGGACAGGAGCUUGCCUGCUAAGCAAUCAAAAGUACAUGACAGCUGCCAUGAAAGAGCAGAAGAAAAUCAUUGAGCAAAAUGGAGAACCCAUAGACUACACCAUCUUGUCAAAGAUGGAUGCCUUGCGUUGCUGUAUCAAAGAGGCACUGAGGCUUUAUUCUCCGACACCAUUACUACUCCGUCAUGCACACAAGAGCUUCACCGUGCAAACCAGGGAUGGCAUGGAAUAUGAGAUCCCAGAAGGGCAUGCUUUAGCAUGCUCCAUAGUGGUCAGCAACAAGAUGCCUUACAUUUAUAAGAAUCCUAAUGUGUAUGAUCCGUGCCGGUUUAGCCUGGGGAGAGAGGAGGACAAAACCAGUGGCAAGUUUUCAGACAUAUCCUUUGGUGCUGGGAGGUAUUCUUGCUUGGGGCAGGAUUAUGCUUUCAUGCAAAUCAAGGUGAUAUGGAGCUAUUUGCUGAGGAACUUUGAGCUCGAGUUAAUCUCUCCUUUCCCUGAGCUAGAGAAUGACAAAAUAUUACCAGGACCUAGAGGAAAAGUGAUGGUUGCUUACAGGAGAAGGUCAAUAGUUAAUUAGCACACAUGCAUAUGAAGUAUGAAUUUCUAAGCUAACUGUGUGUUGGUGUGUCAUUUUAUAUGUGGGAAUUAAUAUAUAGUAAAUAUGUGCUAGAAAAGGGAGAACAACUAGCAUAUGUGAAAUACCUCGCCAUUACCGUGGGUGUGUGAGUUAGAAAUGUGGUCAGGUGUGUAUAUGUACAUGUACAAGUUAUGCUUAUUCUGUAAACAAAAGUCGGUUUUUAUUGCCCUCCUAAUAAAAAUAUAAUUAUUACCCCAAUAUUUUUCAGCAAUAUAAUACUCCAUAUGCUUUGGAAUAUGGGUAUUAGGUUUGCAGGUAAUCUACAGAGCAACUAGUUGGAUCUGUACGUGGUCAUUACUCAGCUGUGCGGAAUCCAAGGAACAUAUAGCUUAUGGGUGCAACAAUUGGGAGACGAUAGCACAAGAUACCUAUAACUAGUUUGGAUGGGGGUCCAACAGGAUAGGUGUAUAGGCAUCUUGUUCUUUUUUGUGCCGGUUGUGGCUUUGAGUUCUCCCUUUACUUUAUCUCUUGAUGAGUUUUUGUAUCA
rnacentral:rRNA from 1 species